CUCAUUAAUUGGACGAAGAAGAAGAAGACUGCACAUGCGUAGUUACUUGGUUCAGAUAGCAGGUUCAUUAAUUUGCACGUGGCUGGAUAAGAGCAUGCUGAGAAGUUUGUUUCUUUGAAGAGCGCAGUGGACAUGCAGUGGAAGUAUUAUUGCUGAGUUCAACCGGAUCACAAGCAAAAACCUCAAGCAAGAAUUCUUCUCAGCCCUUGAUAAUCAUACUUCUCGUUUUCUGGAAAUUUUCGAAUCAAAGAAAGGCACAGCUGGAAAAAAGCUCUUGGAGCUUCUAAUGCAAAUGAAGUCUGCAAACAUCACUGAUGUCACUGCUCGACGGACAGCAGUUCUCCAUGGUCUUGCUGUCCUUCUUGGGGAAGACACUACAGACUUCUUCAAAACAUGCUUUGACAUUGAUAUCGUUGCACCUCAAGUAUCGAUAGGAAUUCUCACUGUGGUGCCAGAGGACAGCCCGAUGUCUCCACAAGGUUUGCCAUUGGAGGUCACUGAUACAGCAAUAAUUUUGGAGGGUGUUAUAGCAAUGGAUGGACUUGAGAAUGUUCCACAUGCCAUGUGUUUUGUUUUUGGGCUGAUCUAUGCUUUAAAUAUGGAGUACCCUUCACAGCUUAAAAACACUUUUGAGUUCAUUCAAAGGGUUUUUCUUUCCCUGGGGCACAAAUCUCUCAAGCCAAAACUGCAAUCACUAAAAAACCUACUGAUGUUUUAAUGUGUUUUUGUGUUUCUGAAUGCAGAAACAAGACCAUGGUACUGUAGGUCUGUUGUUGCAUUUUUUUUGAGUUUUAAUCAGUCACCUGCCAACCUGGAUACAAAACCAAAACUCCAGUCACUAAAAGCUUUGUAGUAAAGAAUUUGUUCAAUAUGUUUUUAAUAGCAGAAACAAGACUGUCUUAGGUCUAUUGUUGCCUUUUGGUUGUUGUAUCCAGAUUGAUGGGUGACUGAUUAAAAAUCUCAAUAUCCGCAACUUAAAAACCUUGAUGUUUUAAUCCAUUUUUGUUUUAAGCUUCUGAUGGCAGAAAAAGACCAUGUUAUUGUAGGUCUGUUGUUGCACUUUGGGUGUUUUAUUCAGGUUGAUGGGUGACUGAUUAAAACAAAUCUGUUUUAUUUAAAAUGUUUAGUGUUUGCAGAAACAAGGAUUUGUUACUGUAUGUCUGUUGCAUGUUGAGUUGUGUUUUUUUUUUUUUUUUUUUUUUUUUUGUUUGUUUGUUUGUUUUUUGUCAUCCAUCAACUUGGGUAUAAAUCCUGGAAAAAAGAAACUGUAAUUGCUGCAUAGCUUGGAUGUUUUGAUCAAGAUGUGUUCUUUGUGUUUCUGAUGGCAGAAACAAGACCAUGUUGCAGUAGGUCUGUUGUUGAAUUUUUUGGUAGUUUUAAUCAGACACCUACCAACCUGGAUUAAAAGUUUAAAAUGUUGGACACUGUUACAAUAAAAUGAAUGUUUUGACAACA